UACGUAGGGGGCAAGCGUUGGUCCGGAUUUAUUGGGCGUAAAGAGCGUGUAGGCGGCCAUACAGGUCAGCUGUGAAAACUCGAGGCUCAACCUCGAGACGUCGGUUGAAACCGUAUGGCUAGAGUCCGGAAGAGGAGAGUGGAAUUCCCGGUGUAGCGGUGAAAUGCGCAGAUAUCGGGAAGAACACCUAUGGCGAAGGCAGCUCUCUGGGACGGUACUGGACGCUGAGACGCGAAAGCCGUGGGGAGCAAACAGG
rnacentral:rRNA from 1 species